GGGGAUAUAGCUCAGUUGGUAGAGCGUCGCCUUCGCAAGGCGAAAGUCAACGGUUCGAAUCCGUUUAUCUCCACCA
rnacentral:tRNA from 1 species